CCUACGGGUGGCAGCAGUGGGGAAUAUUGCACAAUGGGCGCAAGCCUGAUGCAGCCAUGCCGCGUGUGUGAAGAAGGCCUUCGGGUUGUAAAGCACUUUCAGCGGGGAGGAAGGCGUUAAGGUUAAUAACCUUGGCGAUUGACGUUACCCGCAGAAGAAGCACCGGCUAACUCCGUGCCAGCAGCCGCGGUAAUACGGAGGGUGCAAGCGUUAAUCGGAAUUACUGGGCGUAAAGCGCACGCAGGCGGUCUGUCAAGUCGGAUGUGAAAUCCCCGGGCUCAACCUGGGAACUGCAUUCGAAACUGGCAGGCUAGAGUCUUGUAGAGGGGGGUAGAAUUCCAGGUGUAGCGGUGAAAUGCGUAGAGAUCUGGAGGAGUACCGGUGGCGAAGGCGGCCCCCUGGACAAAGACUGACGCUCAGGUGCGAAAGCGUGGGGAGCAAACAGGAUUAGAUACCCGAGUAGUC
rnacentral:rRNA from 1 species